CUAAACAGCUACAGAACAUUCGUCAGGGUCUACGUGGUGACUCCGUUGUUCUCAUGGGAAAGAACACCAUGAUGAAGCGAUCUGUUCGUAUGCACGCUGAGAAAACUGGCAACAAUGCUUUUCUCAACCUUAUCCCUCUUCUUGUCGUGAGUUUUCUUAUUCUCUUUAGAUUUCGCUGUUUUAUUCAUUCAUGAAUGAAUUUCGAUUGAAUAACGUGUUGUUUUUCUUUUAUUGAUUUUGUGUGAUAAAGCUAAGAUAUUUGGUUAUUUUGUCUUGAUUUCUGUUUUCUUUUGUUACGUUUGGAUUGACCUGUUUGAAUUUAGUUAUUGACAUAAGUGCAGAUUAAUCUGUUUUGAGAGAACUUAUGAAAACAGCUUAUUGUUUAUAUGAAAAAAAGUCUAACUUUAUUUAGCUUGGGUUGUUGAAAUACUAUUAGCACUUGGAACAUGCCCGGAUUGCAAACAAUUCUGUUAAUUCAUAAGUUCCCACUAAUGAAAUUUUUAUCUCAUAAGCUGUUUUUUCAUAAACUACCUUGAUCAUACAUCAAAGCUUAUUUAUUUGCAUAAACUGUUUUGCAUAAUCUCUAAAAUAAGCCAAUCCAAACAAGCCUUUAUGUCAGGACUCACGAGCACUUAUGCUAUAUGCGCUUUUAUAGCGCUUCUGCAGCUAUAAACACUUAAUUUAGUUGUUUAUCCAAAUAGGGUGAUAGUCAUGUCAGUUAGUAUUAAUUUUUAGAAUCACAAUUGACUUUUUAUGUUUUAAUUACUAGACUAUAUUAUGAGGACUUGUUGAUAUUGUUGUUAACUCUUGUGAGGAUUUGUACUGAAUCAGGGAAAUGUUGGUUUGAUUUUCACAAAAGGUGACUUGAAGGAAGUCAGUGAAGAAGUUGCUAAAUACAAGGUGAAGUUACCUUUUCACGGUUAUCAUAUGUUAUGUUUUUUAGUCUGUCAUGUACAAUGUUAUUGUGAUGUUGCUCUGGUUUUUCUGCUGCUUUUAGUUGAUACAUUUAAAUAUGAUCCUUAAAUGUGAAAUCGCCAAUAUAGAAAGGUCUGUUCAUAGAAUUUUUCCAGUAAAAGGUAUCAAUGGCUGUUAAAUUACUUGUUUAGGCAUGGACUAUAUCAUGAUUUGAUUCUUGUUCAUUGUAUACUCUCUGUUUCUCCAUUUUUGUUGUCCCAUCUAGUGAGGUACUGUGGUUGCAAUAUAUCAUUAUCUGUUAUCAUUGAUUGUCAAUGCCCUCAUUAAAAUUUCUGUAAAUAAUGUUUUUGUUUAAUGAAUAGGUUGGAGCUCCUGCCCGUGUUGGUUUGGUUGCUCCAAUUGAUGUCGUUGUUCCUCCAGGCAACACAGGGCUCGACCCAUCUCAGACCUCUUUCUUCCAGGUUUGUUAUCAUCUUCUUUUAAACAUUGAGAUUUACUGUCCUCAUUGUCAAACUUAUGUUUAUUCUCCACUUUAGGUGCUCAACAUCCCAACCAAGAUUAACAAGGGUACUGUGGAAAUCAUUACCCCAGUGGAACUGAUUAAGAAAGGAGACAAGGUUGGAUCUUCUGAAGCUGCAUUGCUUGCCAAGUUAGGUAUUAGGCCCUUUUCAUAUGGGCUUGUGGUCCUUUCU
rnacentral:lncRNA from 1 species